CCGGGUGCGUAACACGUAGCUGACCUGCCCCUCGACGGGGGACAACGGUGCGAAAGCGCUGCUAAUACCGCAUACAUUUAGAGCGAUUAGAAGGCUCUAAAGAAACUUACGGGGUCGAGGGAGGGGGCUGCGGCCCAUCAGGUAGUUGGAGAGGUAACGGCUCACCAAGCCAACGACGGGUCGGGGGUCUGAGAGGAUGGCCCCCCACACUGGGACUGACAACGGCCCAGACUCCUACGGGAGGCAGCAGUAAGGGAUAUUGCGCAAUGGGCGAAAGCCUGACGCAGCAACGCCGCGUGGAGGAUGAAGGCUUUCGGGUCGUAAACUCCUUUGGACGGGGACGAGGAAGGACGGUACCCGUCAAACAAGUCAAGGCUAACUACGUGCCAGCAGCCGCGGUAAAACGUAGGUGGCAAGCGUUAUCCGGAUUUACUGGGCGUAAAGGGUGUGCAGGCUGUUCACCAAGUGGUGUAUGAAAGCGCUCGGCUCAACCGGGCAAGGGUAUGCCAGACUGGUGGACUUGAGUCUGAAAGAGGGUGGUGGAAUUCCGGGUGUAGUGGUGAAAUGCGUAGA
rnacentral:rRNA from 1 species